ACGUCACACCUGAAUUCCAUCAAGCCUCCAGGUCCACCUGCCGGUUUAUACAAUCCAGGAGGCAGAGGCCCAGGCCACAUGACGCCGCAGGGAUGCAGUCAGCACAAUCCAGACUGUGGGAAAUCUAUGGCAGAAACAACCUCAACGAUACAGUUCAAGGAAAUCAAAAGGGUUGGGGGAGGGUGGAGUGUGGGGAAGGAAACCCGAUGUAAAAGAGGCAAAACAACGUGUAAGCCAGUUGGCACCUCAUUCAAACAAACACACGGCAAUGCUGAAAAAGGAAGGUUGGAAGAAUGUAAAUGCUGACCAGAUAUUUGAUGAUAUGAAGGAAUUAGAGUAAAUUGUGCAGAAAGAGCUGCCUUGGUUCCCUCUUCGGAAGACGGGGAGCUGGUCAGGAGCGAAGCUUCACUGACCCAGGGAAGGGAGAGGCCCCUCCUGGAUGUGCCGUCUGUGUGGUUCCAGCACCUGCCCGGAAGGACCCCUUCCUCGCUGCCUCCCUGCCACCCGGUCAGACUCUGGAAGCCUGGCUCUCCUGACAGCUGAUGCCUUCUUGAGACAUCCUGGUGGAAAACUUGGAAGCUGUCUGGAGAACCACAGGUACUGCUGGAGCAGCCGCUGGCUCUGCGGCCGGAUCUGGGUCUCCCCUCCUGCCCCACUGACCCAGGCAGGCCAGACGCUGUCAUUUUGAUCCCCACCAGGUUGUCAUGAAAGUCCUCGCCCAGACACACUAUGGCCCCUGGAAAUUCCUAAAUGUCUUUCCCCUGGGCUGUGCUCUACAGGGCCAGGCAAUGAAUCAAAAGGCUGCACAAGCCAGGCCCUGGAGCUGUGAGGGGCCAGGGAUUUGGAAAAAGCACUCUUUGUUCAUGGCAGGUCAGCUGUUACACGUAAAAGCCAAAGCGCUUCUGGCUCUCCUGACAGGUGUCCAGUGUGCAGCACACGCAGGUGGAGAGGCUGGCUGCUUCCAGCUUCGAGCAAGUUACCCCAUAGCCAUGCUUUUGUUUCUAGCCGCCCAGUUAAAGGGACAUGAAAGAACACAGACCUGCCUGAGUGAAGACAACAUGGUGAAGGGCCUUGAGCCAUGAAGAAUGACUGAGAUGGUGAUGUUAAGCCUGGUAAAGGCAAGACUUGGGGACCCAGAGAUGCUGUCAAUAUUUAAAAGUCGGUCUCAUGAACAAGAGGUUAGAUGUGCGUGCAUGUCUGUCUGUGUGUGUGUGUGUGUGUGUGUGUGUGUGUGUGUGUGUACUUGAGUUCACUGAAAGAAGCUUUGCUGAGAAUGGGCUGCUGAGGUCAGAACGUCCAGCUUCAAAUCCUACCUUCUGUGCCUAAGUUAUCUUGUCUGUAAAGUGGAACUAAAAAGUAGUACUUAUCUUCAAGGGCUGUUGUAAAGAUUAAAAUGAGUGAAUGUAUGUAAAAAUGCUUUGAAUGGCCUGGUUCAUACUAAGCACUCAAUAAAUGUUAGGUUAAUAUAAUGUUCACCGCUGUCAGCAGACAGAAACUUCUGUGAUAUCACAAAUGAAGACAGCAAGAUCCAAGUUGUAUGACCAAUUUUGUUUUUAAAAUGCACAUUAUUUUGUUUUCUUUGUUUUUUUAAAUAUGUUGCAAUUUUAAUUUGUUUUAAACAUCUUUUUGGAUUUGGGGGCGGGGAACU